UCUGAGAGGAGUCAAGACACUUUUGUCAGGCUGCUAGAACCUCCGGGAAAGGGAGAAGGCAAAGAUGUGUGCUAUAUAAAACAGAAAGUGGAUCAUUAGUGUCCAUGGAUCUAGUAAUCACAGAUUUGAGUAUUUGAUAGUAACCUUUAGGGAUAGAGAUAGAGAAUAGCAAUAGAUUUAACUUUCCUGAACCAGAAAUACGAAUUGUUUGUUCUGCAAGAUAAAUCAGCACUUUCACUGGACUGAUUGGACUGAGAAGGCAAGGCUGAGUGAGUUUGACCACACUCAGAGCCUAAAUCCCAUCCAAAGGAAGAAAUGGCAAUAAAAAAGUAGAUGGAAAAAGAGAUCCAUGGAAGAAAUUUCUCUCUGAUCUUGAUACGAAUAGAACAGGAGGAUAGCAGUGAUUCCCAGGGGCUGAAAACACAGGCCUCAGGUAAAUUGGAUCCUGGACAAGUUAUUUAACUAUUCUCAGACUCAAUUUUGUCUUCUUAA
rnacentral:lncRNA from 1 species